CACGGGGGGAGCAAGCGUUGUUCGGAAUCACUGGGCGUAAAGGGCGUGUAGGCGGUCAGGUAAGUGGGACGUGAAAUGCCUCGGCUCACCCGAGGAGCGGCGUCCCAUACUGCUUGGCUUGAGUACGGGAGAGGAUGUGGGAAUUCCUGGUGUAGCGGUGAAAUGCGUAGAUAUCAGGAGGAACACCGGUGGCGAAGGCGCACAUCUGGCCCGAUACUGACGCUGAGGCGCGAAAGCUAGGGGAGCAAACGGU
rnacentral:rRNA from 1 species